rnacentral:rRNA from 1 species
UACGGGAGGCAGCAGUGGGGAAUAUUGCACAAUGGGCGCAAGCCUGAUGCAGCCAUGCCGCGUGUAUGAAGAAGGCCUUCGGGUUGUAAAGUACUUUCAGUCGUGAGGAAGGUGUUAAGGUUAAUAACCUUAGCAAUUGACGUUAGCGACAGAAGAAGCACCGGCUAACUCCGUGCCAGCAGCCGCGGUAAUACGGAGGGUGCGAGCGUUAAUCGGAAUUACUGGGCGUAAAGGGCACGCAGGCGGUUAAUUAAGUUGGAUGUGAAGUCCCCGGGCUUAACCUGGGAAUGGCAUUCAAGACUGGUUAGCUAGAGUCUUGUAGAGGGGGUAGAAUUCCAUGUGUAGCGGUGAAAUGCGUAGAGAUGUGGAGGAAUACCGGGUGGCGAAGGCGGCCCCUGGGACAAAGGACUGACGCUCAUGUGCGAAAGCGUGGGGAGCGAAACAGGGAUAGAUACC